UGGACUUGAGUGACCUCGUCCUCCUCCCAGAGUUCACUCGCUAUCGAACUGCGGCAUCCUCCUCCCGGCCGCCGCUCAUGUGAUUAAGAAGCCUGUCGCACCUCCUCCCGCGACGGGCUUUUUUU
rnacentral:sRNA from 1 species